UGUGCUUAAGGUGCGUCAGUUCUUCAGUUAAGAACUUAAGGUGCAUUUUUUGUUGAAACUUAAGGUGCGUCAGUCUAAACCUUUAGGUGUGUCUUUCCAUAGCUU